AAUGAACGUUGGCGGCAUGGAUUAGGCAUGCAAGUCGAGCGAGAAGGGUUUUGAAGCUUGCUUUGAAACCCGGAAAGCGGCGCAAGGGAGAGUAACGAGUAGUUAUCUACCCCAGGCCCGGAAUAGCUGCGGGAAACUGCAGGUAAUGCCGGAUAAUAUCCCCGGAUCAAAGGUGUGAUUCCGCCUUGGGAGGAGACUGCUUUGUACUAGCUAGUUGGUAGGGUAAUGGCCUACCAAGGCUACGAUGCAUAGCGGGCGUGAGAGCGUGGCCCGUCUCACUGGGACUGAAACACUGCCCAGACACCUACGGGUGGCUGCAGUCGAGAAUCUUCGGCAAUGGGCGAAAGCCUGACCGAGCGAUGCCGCGUGCGGGAUGAAGGCCCUCGGGUUGUAAACCGCUGUCGUAGAGGAGAAAGGUCUGAUGAAGAAUCAGAUUUGAUCUAUUUUAGGAGGAAGUCCGGGCUAAGUUCG
rnacentral:rRNA from 1 species